UAACUCCCAACCCCUGUGACAUACCUUAUGUUGCCUCGGCGGAUCAGCCCGCGCCCCGUAAAAAGGGACGGCCCGCCGCAGGAACCCUAAACUCUGUUUUUAGUGGAACUUCUGAGUAUAAAAAACAAAUAAAUCAAAACUUUCAACAACGGAUCUCUUGGUUCUGGCAUCGAUGAAGAACGCAGCAAAAUGCGAUAAGUAAUGUGAAUUGCAGAAUUCAGUGAAUCAUCGAAUCUUUGAACGCACAUUGCGCCCGCCAGUAUUCUGGCGGGCAUGCCUGUUCGAGCGUCAUUUCAACCCUCAAGCCCAGCUUGGUGUUGGGAGCUGCAGUCCUGCUGCACUCCCCAAAUACAUUGGCGGUCACGUCGAGCUUCCAUAGCGUAGUAAUUUACACAUCGUUACUGGUAAUCGUCGCGGCCACGCCGUUAAACCCCAACUUCGAUCUGUUUCCUCGGAUCAGGUAGGAAUACCCGCUGAACUUAAGCAUAUCAAUAAGCGGAGGAA
rnacentral:rRNA from 1 species